CCUGUGAGAGAGAAAACAAUACAAUGAAACCUGGUACCUGAUGAACUUAAUUUCUUUCAUACAGUGAUGUGAAAUUCAAGGCUGGCACUUGACCUCAUGUAAAAUUUUUUGUUCUAGUUUUUUUCUUUUCCAUUUAACACACAGACAACUCCUUUUCCCUACACACAAUCAAAUUUUUACUGGAAGAUUCCUUAGGUAUGUGGCAUCUAUCUCUCAUCUUAAGAGAGAAAGAAACUGAGGCUUGGAGUUUCAUCUGAUCCAAGCUAUAUAGCUAAUUAGUGGUAAAACUAAUGCAGUGUUCUUUGAAUACAUGAUAAGUAUCUUAUACUUUUCUGUUGUCUUCUAAUUGUUGGUAAAGCAAGGUCUUGAUUUAAGUGCAAACUCAGCUCAAACUAAAAACUUAAAUGCUUCCAGAGCCAAGAUAACGACAAUGCUUCAUUUCCAAUAGUGAUGUCAACGUUUUAUACUCUGGAUCUAAGAGUAUAGAUCCAGAGGGAUGGUGGUGGGUGAGGGACAUUCAGUAUCAAGGAAUUCCAGAAUGACCAUGAAAUUGUGCUAAAAGUUACUGGAAUAGAUGGAAAAAUCUCUUCUAUAUUAUGAGGUGUACUACAUGAAUAUUUACAAGGAAUUAGGUGCACGUUUUCUAAUCUUUUUGCAGGAAAAUUACUCGGGAUUUAGUAGCAUUUAAAGAGGGAGAUUACAUUUUAAGAAGAUUAGAAGAAUUCAGGUAAAUGAAAUCUAUGAGCUUUUAAUCUUGUGUGUUUGUGAAACGUCCCUUUCUAGGUUAGUGGCAAUUUAAAAUUACUAAUUCUUAGAUUGCCUGUUGCAUAGUUUCAGAUUUGUCUCAUUUAUUAUUAUUAUUGUUUUAUACUUAAUUAAAACUGGAUGUGUUAUUUUAUUAUUUACUUAGCCUGAAUCUGAAUCUGUACUAGAUACUGAAUGUUUUUCAUAGCUGGUAAAGUCUACAAAAAUGCUAAGUAGCAGCACGUGUUUCAAAUAGUGGUAGUUUUCAUAUUGUAAGACUGAUGUCUCCGUAAUAGUAUCAAAGCAAGCAAGACCUUUGAAGUAGCAGAUUUAAAAAGUGUCCAAACCUAAAUAUAGUUGAUUCUUGAACAAUAUGGACUUGAAAUGGAUGGGUCCACUUAGACAUAGAUAUUUUUGAUAAAUACAGUAUACAGUAAAUGCAUUUUCUUUUCCUUACGAUUUUCUCAAUAUUUUUUCCCUAGCUUCAUUUUUAAAAAUAUAUAAAACAUGUAAUAUAUAAAAUAUGUGUUAACUGUUUAUGUUAUUGUUUAUAUGAGGCUUCCAGUCAAAAGUGGGCUAUUAAUUAAGUUCCAGGGAGUCAAAAGUUAUAGGUGGGGGAGAGGGGGGCGCCUGGGUGGCUCAGCGCCCCAAGCAUCUGACUCUUGAUUUCAGCUCAGGUCAUGAUCUCACAGUUCCGUGGGAUCGAGUCUCGCAUCGGGCUCUGUUGACAGCAUGGAGCCUGCUUGGGAUUCUCUCCUUCUCUUUGCCUCUCCCCUGCUUGCACACACACUCUCUUUCUCUCUCAAAAUAAAUAAACAUUUCUAAAAAAGUUAUACGUGGAUUUCCAACUGCUUGGGUGAGCAGGGAGGGUUAUUGCCCCUAUCUCCUGUGUUGUUCAAGGGUCAACUACAGUUACCAAGUUAAAAAUUCAUUUUAACUUGGAAUAGGCUGCCAAAGAAUGCAGGUUAUAUGGAUUCUCUUAAUUUUCAAUCAAAUGAAUGAAUGCUUCCGAUGAAAAUACAGACUGACAUGCUAAAAUCAUUAACUAUACAAAUCAUUAGUCCAAGUGUGGUUUCAGUUACUAAUGAUUUAAAUAUUGGUUCAGAACAAGUAACAGCAAAUACUUGAUUUCAUUCACUUCAUAGUUCAUAAGUUUCUUUCAUAUAAAAUUUCAUUUAAUAUAGGUGAUUAUCUGUAUUACAUAUAUUAAAAGAAAAGGUAGAGGAGCCUGGCUGGCUCAGUUAGUAGAGCAUGCAACUCCUGGUCAUGACUUCAAGCUCUAUGGGGGUGUAGAGCUUACUGAAAAGGAAAGAAAAGGUAACCUUGACAUCUUGAAAUGAAACCGGAUCUUGUCCAUGGAUUUUCAUUAGUUCCUGUAUGGCCUGUAUGGAUAGAAAUAAGUCUGUAAAUAAAAAAUGCUCAACAGCCCCCUUCCUGUCCCAUGGCCCCUUUCUAGUUCCACUUCCUUUCCUAUCAGACCACAAGCCUUAUCAUUUCAACCACUCUUGCCAAUAUUCUCAACUUCCUUGACCUUGCUUCACAUCCAGUCGGCCAAACUUAAACAAUUUCAGUGUAACUACCAACCUUUCAAGAUACAUAACGUUGCUAUUGAGAAUUCCAGAAAAAAAGUCUAUAAGACUACAGAUUAUUGCUACCAUAUAGGAAUGGUCUCCAACCUCAGAUCGGCCUUUACAUGGCCUAGCGAUUUAAUCUGUGAUGCCUGAUCCACUCAUUUUCCAGGAAUGCUGUUCAUACCCUCACUGUUCUUUUUUCUUUUUUUAAUUUUUUAAUGUUUAUUUUUGAGAGAGAGAGAGCGUGGGAGCAGGAAAGGGGAAGAGAAAGAGGUAGACACAGAAUCCGAAGCAGGUUCCAGGAUCUGAGCUGUCAGCACAGAGCCUGACACGGGGCUUGAACCCACAAACCGUGAGAUCAUGACCUGAGCUGAAGUUGGCCACUUAACCUACUGAGCCACCUAGGCGCCCCAUACCCUCACCAUUCUUUAAGACACCCAAUACGCCACCUCUGCCUCCCACCCUAUACUUUGCCUUCUACUUGACAGAAAAAAAUGUAAGCAAAACUCCCUCAAACUUUUUUAUAACCUUUAAGAACAACAACAACA